GGGACAAACGGAAUCUUGUGGGACUUCUGUGCACAACACAGACUGUUCUUCCUCACCUCUCCACCUCAGAAAAACACAGCUGAAAACAGUAUACUGAAUAGAUCUUCACUCCUUUGGCUGAAAGACCUUCUAGGAAGUGUUAUGCUGACUCUCUCCUCUGUUUCUUGUGCAUGACAGUAGCACGUCAGUUCACAUGACCAACAUUCAUAAAAUGGGGAUCUGAGGAGCACUUCUGUGCACAAAAAUCUACAUACAAGUUCCACAAAUCCUGCAAACUUCACCCUGCAGAAUGUGUUCAGCUUCUAAGCCUAGCCAAUGGGAAUCAGAGACAGUGGCUGCUGCAGAGGGGCUGAGUGACCCAAGUGACCCCAGUAAAGAUGAUAAAAAGUUUUGUCUUGCUCAGUGGUAGAAAACAACAACAGAAACUUCCAAUAUGAACGUUGUUAGUUGGCUUGAAACUAAUGCAUACACAAGCUACUAAUAUGCCAAUAAAAACUACUAAGCAGGUUAUUAAAUUAUUAUUUGCAUUUACACUUCAAGACUUACAUAAUGCUUCAGAAACAUGCUUAACCUGUGCCUAACUUGGAAGCCUUUGAACCACUUGCCUCUAUUAUCUGUGUUCUCUACAGAGCCACUUAAGAUAGUGAGCUCACUGGCUGUCCUGAUUCGUGUACAAGUUAGAUGAAGUAGACAUAUAGGUGAAAAAAUUACUACUUAACAUGUAUAAACGUGAAGUAAACCAAUGAAGUUUCUGAGGGUUGGCAUGAUGUUGAUUUUCACACACUUGAGGAAAAUACUGGCUAAGAAGCCAUAUUUAAGAUGAUAGUUUUGCAGAGACGUGAUGGACUGACUAUUUUCUAA